AUAAUUUGCUAAUAUUAUUAUUUUCUUAAAGUAUCUACAGUUCUAAAUAAAUAUACAUAUAUGAGAAUCAAAAUAGUAUAAUUUGUCUAUUUAGCUUCGUUCUCCAUUAUUUUCAAAUAUUUUUUAAUGUUUUCAAAUUAUAUAUAAUUUUAAUGAUAAAAAUAUAUAUUUGAAAAUAUUUUUCUGAGAUAAUUUUGUUCUAACAAAUUAUCAAAAAAAUUAUUGAUAUGCUAAGGUUAAAGGAUUUUAUACACAUAAAUAGAUGGUUUGUUAAGAUAAUUUUUAUACUAUGGUAUUUCUCACAUAUUUAUAAUAUCAAUUUUAUGUACUGAAUAUUCAUUUUAAAACAUUUUAAAUUUAAUUAAAAAAAUUCAAUAUUAUUUUAAUAAAAUUAUUGAUAGUGUGUAAUUUAUUGUUUAUCAAAUGACUCUAAACUGCAAAACAAUUAUUUCCUCAUAAAUUAUUAUAUAAAAAGUUAUAGUAGGUAAUUUUUAGGAAAUUGCUUUAAAUAAAUUUUUAGAAUAAUAAAAUUUGUGGUAUGUUUUGAAAAGGAAAUGAUAAAAGAGAGAGAUUAUACAUGAUUUAAUUAGUUUUUAGUUUUGAAAUAUUUUCUAAAUUAAUUGUUUGGUUGAUAUUAAUUAAUUAUGUUAUCCCGAAAUAUAGGUGGCAUGGCACUGUACUUAAUAGUGUAGAUAUAAAAAUGUUUUAAAGAGUGGAUUUAGAAAAACUAUUGUAUUUAAAAUUAUGGAAUGCAUACAACUUUCAUUUUAUUUUAUUUUGUCAACUGAGUUAUUAACUUAUCAAACUAUUAAUUGAAAACACGUCUAAGUUAAAACUUUAUAAUGAAAAUAUUACACUAUAAGACAGUUUUUGACUUUUAAUAACACUCUAGGGCAGUUUAUGCUCCUCACACACUUUCUCUUCCCCCAAUACACGUUUCACUUCUUCCAACCCAUGAAACAAUUGAAAUCUAACUAAAACUUAACUAAAUAAUAAAAUAAUAAAAUAAUAUUUCUGCAGUAAAUAAAAAUAAUAAUUUAUGGUUCAUUUCUCUCUCUUUAUUUCUCUUUCCAACAUCAGAUACAAAUAUGGCUUCAUGUCUUUGAGAAUUGUAAAGUCAUCGUUUACUUAACUCAAUCAUGAAAAGAUUUCAUAUUUAUUCUCUUCACUCUUGUUCCCGACCGGCGGUCUCAUUGAGGUCACAAAUGAGACGGAUUGCGAAUUUUUAAUGACUAUUGAGGAAGUUGGAAGCUACCAGAGAUUAGGAAGAUGAACUCAAAUGAGAUGAAGGUGAACCAGCAGAGAUGAGUUCUCAUCUUAAGAUGCUAUGUUUGCUGCACACGAUUUCACUCAACUAUACAAGUUAAGGAGGCAAGAGAAUAUGAAUUUCCAAGCUGAGAGUUUUAUAAAACUUAUUUGGUGUACAAGUGAACUAAUGUACAGUUUUAUAAAACUUAUUUGGUGUAUAUGUGAACUAUUGUACAUGUAAGCUUUUGGAAAUUUAUGUACACGUGGACAUUGAAAAUUA